rnacentral:rRNA from 1 species
GAUGAACGCUGGCUACAGGCUUAACACAUGCAAGUCGAGGGGAAACGUCGGGGAAGCUUGCUUCCCCGGGCGUCGACCGGCGCACGGGUGAGUAACGCGUAUCCAACCUGCCUCUGACUGAGGGAUAACCCGUCGAAAGUCGGCCUAAUACCUCAUGGCAUCGUCUGCGGGCAUCCAACGACGAUUAAAGAUUUCAUCGGCCAGAGAUGGGGAUGCGUCUGAUUAGCUUGUUGGCGGGGUAACGGCCCACCAAGGCGACGAUCAGGAGGGGUUCUGAGAGGAAGGCCCCCCACAUCGGAACCGAGACACGGACCACACUCCUACGGGACGCAGCAGUGAGGAAGAUUGGGCAAUGGGCGAGAGCCUGAACCAGCCAAGUAGCGUGCAGGAUGACGGCCCUAUGGGUGGUAAACUGCUUUUAUGCGGGGAUAAAGUGAGGGACGUGUCCUUCAUUGCAGGUACCGCAUGAAUAAGGACCGGCUAAUUCCGUG